CAUUCACGGAGAGUUUGAUCCUGGCUCAGGACGAACGCUGGCGGCGUGCUUAACACAUGCAAGUCGAACGAUGAAGCCCUUCGGGGUGGAUUAGUGGCGAACGGGUGAGUAACACGUGGGCAAUCUGCCCUGCACUCUGGGACAAGCCCUGGAAACGGGGUCUAAUACCGGAUAUGACCGUCCAUCGCAUGGUGGAUGGUGUAAAGCUCCGGCGGUGCAGGAUGAG
rnacentral:rRNA from 1 species